rnacentral:lncRNA from 1 species
UUACAUGUAAAUGAUUAAUUAAGCUGAGUAGAUGCUCAAUUCAGAUUGAAAAUUCCGAUUAAUUCAUGUAGUUGAAUUUACCACUUGGCCAAGAAUUGAAUUUUUCAUUAACUCAAUUGUAUUAACCCCAUAUUUUAACAUUCAAAUUUAGUAUGUUAAUUUUGCUAAAAAUAAAUAAAUUAGUAUGUUAAUAGUUGUUGAAACAGAUCCAGAAGUCCUAGCUCAACUGGCAAAAUGCCGAAAUUAUUAGGCCGGAUGCCAUGACCGGGGUUCGAACCCCGGUUCCUCCACUUGUGUGUGUGAGUUUAUAAUAGCUUUGCCAUUUUCGUCUAUCUACAAAAAAAAAAAUAGUUGUUGAAACAGAACAAAUUAAAGUCGAUAUUGCGCGUAAUUGAACUUGGAAUGGUCAUCCCCAACCCCUAGGGUUUACGAAGCGACCCAAUGCAAAAAAGAAUGGUUUAAUAAUAAGUAUGAAUCAUUUUUU